CGUUCCGGGCCUUGUACACACCGCCCGUCACACCACGAAAGUCGGCAACACCCGAAGCCAGUGGCCCAACCCGCAAGGGGGGGAGCUGUCGAAGGUGGGGUCGGUGAUUGGGGUG
rnacentral:rRNA from 1 species